rnacentral:rRNA from 1 species
UACGUAGGGUCCAAGCGUUGUCCGGAUUUAUUGGGCGUAAAGAGCUCGUAGGCGGUUCCGUAAGUCGGAUGUGAAAACUCAGGGCUCAACCCGGAGACGCCAUCUGAUACUGCGGUGACUGGAGUCUGGUAGGGGAUCACGGAAUACCUGGUGUAGCGGUGAAAUGCGCAGAUAUCAGGUGGAACACCGAUGGCGAAGGCAGUGAUCCGGGCCAGUACUGACGCUGAGGAGCGAAAGCGUGGGGAGCAAACAGG